GCUGGCCUGCGGCAGCUGGCCCACCAGGCGCUCGCCUUCGGCGCGAAUGGCGGCGGGUUCGACGCCCACGGCCUCCA
rnacentral:tRNA from 1 species